UAAAACCAGCACCUCAAGUGGUCAGGAGGAUUAUUGGGCCUAAAGCAUCCGUAGCCUGUUCUAUAAGUUUGCGGUUAAAUCUAUACGCUCAACGUAUAGGCUGCCGUAAAUACUGUAGAACUAGGGAGUGGGAGAGGUAGACGGUACUCGAUAGGAAGGGGUAAAAUCCUUUGAUCUAUUGAUGACCACCUGUGGCGAAGGCGGUCUACCAGAACACGUUCGACGGUGAGGGAUGAAAGCUGGGGGAGCAAACCGGAUUAGAUACCCGGGUAGUCCCAGCUGUAAACGAUGCAGACUCGAUGAUGCAAUGGCAUAGAGCUAUUGCAGUAUCGCAGGGAAGCCGUUAAGUCUGCCGCCUGGGAAGUACGUACGCAAGUAUG
rnacentral:rRNA from 3 species